UACGAAGGUGGCUAGCGCUGUUCGGAAUCACGGGGCGUAAAGCGCACGUAGGCGGAUUUGUUAGUCAGGGGUGAAAUCCCGGGGCUCUACCUCGGGACUGACUUUGAUACUGCAGAUCUCGAGUCCGGAAGAGGUGAGUGGAAUUCCUAGUGUAGAGGUGAAAUUCGUAGAUAUUAGGAAGAACACCAGUGGCGAAGGAGGCUCACUGGUCCGGUACUGGCGCUGAGGUGGGAAAACGGGGUGAGCAAAUAGG
rnacentral:rRNA from 1 species